GACAGAGGUCUCGAGCGUUAGGCGGAAUCACUGGGCUUAAAGCGUGUGUAGGCGGACUUGUAAGUACCUUGUGAAAUCCCACGGCUCAACCGUGGAACUGCUUGGUAUACUGCUUGUCUUGGGCCAUCUAGGGGUUACCGGAACAAACGGUGGAGCGGUGAAAUGCGUAGAUAUCAAGUGGAACACCAGUGGCGAAGGCGAGUCUCUGGACAUUUCCUGACGCUGAGGCACGAAAGCCAGGGGAGCAAACGGG
rnacentral:rRNA from 1 species